rnacentral:rRNA from 1 species
CCCUUAGAUGUUCUGGGCCGCACGCGCGCUACACUGACGAAGUCAGCGAGCAUGUCCUACGCCGACAGGUGCGGGGAAUCUUGUCAAACUUCGUCGUGAUGGGGAUUGAUUAUUGAAAUUCUUGAUCAUCAACGAGGAAUUCCUAGUAAGCGCAAGUCAGCAGCUUGCGUUGAUUACGUCCCUGCCCUUUGUACACACCGCCCGUCGCUACUACCGAUUGAAUGGUUUAGUGAGAUCUUCGGAUUGGCGCCACUGCGGCUCAGCAAUGGGCUCGGUGGAUGCCGAAAAGUUGAUCAAACUUGAUCAUUGAGAGGAAGUAAAAGGCGGAACA